rnacentral:rRNA from 1 species
UACGAAGGGGGCUAGCGUUGCUCGGAAUUACUGGGCGUAAAGCGCACGUAGGCGGCUUUCUAAGUCGGGGGUGAAAUCCUGGAGCUCAACUCCAGAACUGCCUUCGAUACUGGAGAGCUCGAGUCCGGGAGAGGUGAGUGGAACUGCGAGUGUAGAGGUGAAAUUCGUAGAUAUUCGCAAGAACACCAGUGGCGAAGGCGGCUCACUGGCCCGGUACUGAC